GAUGAACGCUGGCGGCGUGCUUAACACAUGCAAGUCGAACGAUGAAGCCCAGCUUGCUGGGUGGAUUAGUGGCGAACGGGUGAGUAACACGUGAGUAACCUGCCCUUAACUCUGGGAUAAGCCUGGGAAACUGGGUCUAAUACCGGAUUGGAGCGCCUACCGCAUGGUGGGUGUUGGAAAGAUUUAUCGGUUUUGGAUGGACUCGCGGCCUAUCAGCUUGUUGGUGAGGUAAUGGCUCACCAAGGCGACGACGGGUAGCCGGCCUGAGAGGGUGACCGGCCACACUGGGACUGAGACACGGCCCAGACUCCUACGGGAGGCAGCAGUGGGGAAUAUUGCACAAUGGGCGAAAGCCUGAUGCAGCGACGCCGCGUGAGGGAUGACGGCCUUCGGGUUGUAAACCUCUUUCAGUAGGGAAGAAGCGAAAGUGACGGUACCUGCAGAAGAAGCACCGGCUAACUACGUG
rnacentral:rRNA from 1 species